rnacentral:rRNA from 1 species
UACGAAGGGGGCUAGCGUUGCUCGGAUUGACUGGGCGUAAAGGGCGCGUAGGCGGUUCGUACAGUCAGACGUGAAAUUCCUGGGCUCAACCUGGGGGCUGCGUUUGAUACGUGCGGACUUGAGUGCGGAAGAGGGUCGUGGAAUUCCCAGUGUAGAGGUGAAAUUCGUAGAUAUUGGGAGGAACACCGGUGGCGAAGGCGGCCCUCUGGACCGAAAUUGACACUGAAGCGCGAAAGCUAGGGGAGCAAACGGG